rnacentral:misc_RNA from 1 species
GAUGAAGAACGUAGCGAAAUGCGAUAAGUAAUGUGAAUUGCAGAAUUCAGUGAAUCAUCGAAUCUUUGAACGCACAUUGCGCCCGCCAGUAUUCUGGCGGGCAAGCCUGUUCGAGCGUCAUUUCAACCAUCAAGCCCUGCUUGCGUUGGGGUCCUGCGGCUGCCCGCAGGCCCUGAAAACCAGUGGCGGGCUCGCUAGUCACACCGAGCGCAGUAAUACAUCUCGCUUUGGGCGUGCGGCGGGUUCUUGCCGUUAAACACCCCCUUUUUACCAAGGUUGACCUCGGAUCAGGUAGGAAUACCCGCUGAACUUAAGCAUAUCAAUAAGCGGAGGA